CCCUUGAGGCGUGGCUUCCGGAGCUAACGCGUUAAAUCGACCGCCUGGGGAGUACGGCCGCAAGGUUAAAACUCAAAUGAAUUGACGGGGGCCCGCACAAGCGGUGGAGCAUGUGGUUUAAUUCGAUGCAACGCGAAGAACCUUACCUACUCUUGACAUCCAGAGAACUUUCCAGAGAUGGAAGGGUGCCUUCGGGAACUCUGAGACAGGUGCUGCAUGGCUGUCGUCAGCUCGUGUUGUGAAAUGUUGGGUUAAGUCCCGCAACGAGCGCAACCCUUAUCCUUUGUUGCCAGCGGUUCGGCCGGGAACUCAAAGGAGACUGCCAGUGAUAAACUGGAGGAAGGUGGGGAUGACGUCAAGUCAUCAUGGCCCUUACGAGUAGGGCUACACACGUGCUACAAUGGCGUAUACAAAGAGAAGCGAACUUGCGAGAGUAAGCGGACCUCAUAAAGUACGUCGUAGUCCGGAUUGGAGUCUGCAACUCGACUCCAUGAAGUCGGAAUCGCUAGUAAUCGUAGAUCAGAAUGCUACGGUGAAUACGUUCCCGGGCCUUGUACACACCGCCCGUCACACCAUGGGAGUGGGUUGCAAAAGAAGUAGGUAGCUUAACCUUCGGGAGGGCGCUUACCACUUUGUGAUUCAUGACUGGGGUGAAGUCGUAACAAGGUAACCAAGGGCGAAUUCGCGGC
rnacentral:rRNA from 1 species